rnacentral:rRNA from 1 species
UAGGGAAUAUUGGUAAUGGGCGAAAGCCUGAACCAGCAACGCCGCGUGCGCGAUGAAGGCCUUCGGGUUGUAAAGCGCUUUUGGAGGGGAUGAGGAAGGACAGUACCCUCAGAAUAAGCCUCGGCUAACUACGUGCCAGCAGCCGCGGUAACACGUAGGAGGCGAGCGUUAUCCGGAUUUACUGGGCGUAAAGCGCGUGCAGGCGGUUUGGAAAGUUGGAUGUGAAAGCUCCUGGCUUAACUGGGAGAGGUCGUACAAUACUACCAAACUAGAGGAUGUGAGAGGAAGGCGGAAUUCCGGGUGUAGUGGUGAAAUGCGUAGAUAUCCGGAGGAACACCAGUGGCGAAAGCGGCCUUCUGGCACAUUCCUGACGCUCAGACGCGAAAGCUAGGGUAGCAAACGG